GACGAACGCUGGCGGCGUGCCUAAUACAUGCAAGUUGAGCGCUGAAGGUUGGUACUUGUACCGACUGGAUGAGCAGCGAACGGGUGAGUAACGCGUGGGGAAUCUGCCUUUGAGCGGGGGACAACAUUUGGAAACGAAUGCUAAUACCGCAUAAAAACUUUAAACACAAGUUUUAAGUUUGAAAGAUGCAAUUGCAUCACUCAAAGAUGAUCCCGCGUUGUAUUAGCUAGUUGGUGAGGUAAAGGCUCACCAAGGCGAUGAUACAUAGCCGACCUGAGAGGGUGAUCGGCCACAUUGGGACUGAGACACGGCCCAAACUCCUACGGGAGGCUGCAGUAGGGAAUCUUCGGCAAUGGACGAAAGUCUGACCGAGCAACGCCGCGUGAGUGAAGAAGGUUUUCGGAUCGUAAAACUCUGUUGGUAGAGAAGAACGUUGGUGAGAGUGGAAAGCUCAUCAAGUGACGGUAACUACCCAGAAAGGGACGGCUAACUACGUG
rnacentral:rRNA from 1 species